AAAGUACUUCCUCCGUCCGAAAAUACUUGUCAUCAAAAUGUAUAAAAGGAGAUGCAUUUAGACGUAUUUUAGUUUUAGAUAUGUCUUUUUUUAUCCAUUUUGAUGACAAGUAUUUUCGGACGAAGGAAGUAGAGG
rfam:Triticum aestivum genome assembly, contig: Triticum_aestivum_CS42_TGACv1_scaffold_129696_2BL